rnacentral:lncRNA from 1 species
AGGCUGUACGAGACUGCGGCGAAGGCACUAAUCUUGGAGUACCCUGCACUUAAGGACACCAUUGGGACGGGUUGGAUCGGUUUGCAGUUGGCUGUGUAGAACUGCUGCCAUUACUAGUGAGAGAGCAGCCAAAAUUUUUGAGGGGCCCUGACAUGCACCCUGCCCUUCAUUUUGAGGGCACAAAUACUUAUGAAGCAAGAGACAUAACAGUUGUCUUUGAAGCAUUCAACAUUGAAGUCAUCGACAUAAUAGCCGGC